rnacentral:rRNA from 1 species
AGCAGCCGCGGUAAUUCCAGCUCCAAUAGCGUAUAUUAAAGUUGUUGCAGUUAAAAAGCUCGUAGUUGAAUUUCGGGAUCAAUAUGUCGGUCGUGCCUCGGUACGUACUGGCGUCAUUGGUUUCUCCCUUCUGAAGAACCUCGAUGUCAUUAAUUUGGUGUCGUGGGGAAUCAGGACUGUUACUUUGAAAAAAUUAGAGUGUUUAAAGCAGGCUCGCGCUUGAAUACAUUAGCAUGGAAUAAUGAAAUAGGACGUUUGAUUCUAUUUUGUUGGUUUCUAGGAUCGACGUAAUGAUUAAUAGGGAUAGUUGGGGGCAUUAGUAUUCAAUUGUCAGAGGUGAAAUUCUUGGAUUUAUUGAAGACUAACUACUGCGAAAGCAUUUGCCAAGGAUGUUUUCAUUAAUCAAGAACGAAAGUUAGGGGAUCGAAGACGAUCAGAUACCGUCGUAGUCUUAACCAUAAACUAUGCCGACUAGGGAUCGGAUGAUGUUAAUUUUUAAUGACUCAUUCGGCGCCUUAAC